rnacentral:lncRNA from 1 species
UUUUUAAAAUUUAUAUAUUUAUUGGUACAUUUUAGGUAUAAAAUACAUUUACAUUUAUCAUUGGGUGCUUGUACCUGAACAUGAUGUAUCUUAGUUCUUAUUUUUUCCCCAUUACCUGUGCACCCUUCACCCCCUUCACCCUUCCCUAUUUACACAGACUUUGAUUCCAUUUUUUUUCUUUCUCAUAAGUUUUCCUUUCCCUUCUUGCCUUUCCCCUUCCCCUCCCGCAUUUUUAUUUUUUGAGAGAGAAUCUCACUAUGUCGCCCUGGCUGGAUCUGAACUUUUGGGCUCAAGUGGACCUCCUGCCUCUCUUGGGCUCAAGUGGUCCUUCUGCCUCAGCCUUUCGAGUACUUGGGACCACCAGCACCCACUGGAUGGUAAACAUUUUGAAUCUGGCCUGUUGAGUGCUCAGUAGGAUUCUAUACCUGUAAUUAUUCUUGACCUUUAUGCUCAGAUACAAUUAAUUUCUUUGGAAGCAGUUCAGUACUUUUGCAUCUUGUUUUUCAGGUUUGUUUUACAGUGGGACUGGACCAAUACUCAAUCUGAAAUUAAUCAUUCCCCAUGAUUGCAGCAAGAUUUCAGUACUGUGUCACUGUCUUGACCCUUCCUCCUUUCCAAGCCUGAAUCAGUGAUAUCACACUUAGAAGUACAGCAUCAUCAAAUGAUCACAAUUAAGAGUAGCAGAUCAUGUAGGAAGAACACCAUUCAACUGAACUGUCCACUUCCAUUCAGCCUGAAUGACUAUGAAUUGUCCUCAGCUAUUGGACCAGACGACUGUGAUUGGCAAGAUUUUCAUUCUUUACGUAUAAGGAAAGGUAAUGAAUAUUUAGAAAGUCAUUCCUUUGCAAGAAAAUUGGAAU